CUCCCUCUAUAAUAGGCGCUGUGUGGCAGCUGUGCCUAUCUUUGGGUGCAGAGGUGUUUCCUGAAUAUUUGUCUACUGUCUAAGGAAAUAAUUUUCAUUCCGUUCCUCUGCUAAGUUCCCUGUUGACUCAACAGGUUUUCUAAUCCAAAGUGGAUUUUCCCUUCCAGUCUAACUCUUCUCUUUUACCUCACGUAAAAGGUAUCAGGUUCUAAGAUGUAAUCUUUAGUAACACAUGGUGAAAGAGAGUUUAGAAUAGGAAAGGAGGCAGGUUACAAAUAAAAGAACCUCACAGGGCUCUGUAUACCAUCCUCUGGAAGCCCUUAGGUUCUCAAAUUUCAAGCUUUCUGGAAGAACCAGAAAUUCAAGGGUGCAGCCAGAGAUGACUGAAAACAGCUACUGUGGCUCCCUCUAUCAGCAAUCCUUUAAAUACCUGUUCCAGCUUCUCUGAGGAGCUAAAGGAGCCAGAUUCCCCCUCCCCGUCAAAUUCUGCACUGAACACAGCCACUGCCAGCGCAUUCCGGACGUUCUCCCGAAACCUAAUGAAAACUGGCUUCCAGAUAGCUAAGUAGGCAGGGUUAGGGGCAACAUUCAACACCUUGGUACUUCAGCAUUUAUGCUUUCCCAAGUGCCUUGGGUAAGCAAGCACAAAUUGAGUCAACUCUACAUUUGGCAGUGUUUAUUGGAGAACCAAGUCUUUAAUAAUAGCAAGAUGGCUUCCUCUUGCAAAAAAAACCAGCUCUCACAACCAGCUAGAGAGUACCCAAGAAAUGACAAUAUGUCAAUAUCCACCAAUCAAAUAAAUUAGAAAAGUAAAUCGGCUACUAAAAAAAGUCAUUUAAUGUAUUUAGGAGUCACUAAAGAGAGUUAAGAUUCCAUUAUAUGGAGUUACCUGCAUCACUGCUCAUUUUUCCUUUGGAUAAUCAAGGUUGGUUAUACCCUGCAUAAGAUGUACAUAAUUAUGCAUGAUCUGAACCACAACAGUAACUUGUCCAAGAAAAAAAAAUCCCACAUUCUGGUGAAGAUAAACUCAGAAAUGGGCAAAGAUUUCCAAGCUCUUGACACAAUUCUGCUUUAAACUGUGUUGUUGAGACUUACUUAGGUUAGUACCCUGACUCUGAUACCUUACUAGCUGUGGGAUCUUGAGCAAUUUUCCUAGAGACAUUAAAUAAUGUAACAUAUAUAAAAUGUCCACUACUGGAUUUGAAAAAAAAAGGUAGUUAUUUGUACUUCCAUAGACCCUAGGCGAAUCUUCCUGUAAAAUCGAUUUUAUUCAUUGAUAAAUAUUUUUAAACACUUUUAACCAUGGAUAUAUUAUGUAAUAGAAUGUAAAAUUCACAAAAAUUUAUAAGCCCUAGACUUCAAUGAAACUUGGCUUUUUUUUUUUGGAGUUGCUCCUGGCCAGCUUCUGGACAUUCUAAAGAACACAUUCUCUCUCCUCCACUCUUUCAUACUGGGUUCCUCAUCUGUACCACAGAACAAAGAAGAUGAUCAGACUAUAUUCUCAAUUUUCCUCAAGACUGUAUAUAACCAGCACCAUGUCUGAUGCACUGGAGAAAAGUUUAUACAUUACAUACAAUGGAUGACUAAUGGCAUUAGGGUUUAAUUCUCCCAUGGAAAUCCAGUUGAGUAAGGCUACUCUACCAUCAAGUAGCCAUUUUGUGGAAAAUCUGUAGAGCACUGGGUGUUGAGGAACUACUGAAUUACAGGGAAUGACAUGGUCAAAUUUGCAUUUUAGAGAAAUCAUUCUAACAGAAGCAAGUUAUAUUUGGGCAGUAGAAGGCUGGAGGUAAGAAGACCAGUCGGGAAACUCUUCACAGGCUAAGGAUGAGACAACAGAAAUGGAGAGGCCCACCACAGCCAGCAAGUAUGAACUGAGAAACUACAGGCAUGUUGCAGGGGUGAGUCCAGCCCUUCAGCCCCAUCUGCUACUCUCUCCUCAUAGUUCUGUACAGUUCUACUCACAAAGUAGUAAAAUGUUUAUUUAUUAAGUGUCACGAGAAGAACUAAAUGCUAAUGCCAGUGGCAGAAAUGAAGAUAAAGUGAAGAAAACCAAGAAAUAGUGGAUCUCUUGUCUGGAAAAAGAAGUUUUGGAUUCACGAAAGAGUGGAAUGCCCUGUUUUUAUAGAAUCAAUAAAGUUCUUUCUCAGUUAUACCUUACUUUGAUUAGGGAAAUUAUGUGUUAUGUGAUACUAAUUUAGGGAUUUGAGAAGGUCUAACCUUGGGGGAUAUUACAUGGAGGAAUUAAAUUAGAACCACUCAGAAGAUAAAAGUUACAGGGAAGUAGAUUACAAUUUAGUUGUGUCCUUUUAAUUAGAGCUGUCCUGUAUUAGAAUGGGUUCUCUUCAAAGGUUAUAAAUUCUCCAGUACCAUCCUCUGGAUGACUAGCUAUCAGGCAUGUUGGGGGAGACCGUCCUAAAUUGUAAAAAAGAUGAUUAUGUUGAGAGGUCAGACUGGAUGACAUCUACAAUGCUUUCCCAAUCAAAGAUAAUAUAAUUCUCAUUCUGGGCUUCAGUUUCCUCAUCUGCAAAAUAAAGAGACUAAGCUAGAUCAUCUUUAAGAAGCUCUAUAUUUCCUGGAUUUGCUUCUACCUAAACUGCCAUAACCUUGCUUGGCCAAUAUCCACUUGCAUUCUGAACACAAGGGUAGACACAGGUCCAGGGACUGGAAAAGAGGUGGAUCAUGGCCAUGAAUCAAACCCUUCUCCAGAUCUAGAUUCAUGUAGCUCCAGAAUGGUCCAAAGGAUGUUCUAGAGAGAGCCCUGAGGUUAGGCUAUUUAAACCCUGGUAGGCUCCCAGACUGAUCUGGGAGUUGGUUACCCAAAGAAGUUCAAAGGAAAAACUGGCUUUGGCCUAGUUCCAGACACCCAGCCAGCCUCAGCAACAACCCCAUCUUUACUCCGGGUUAUUUUCAGCCUAAAGGACUUGAGAAUUGAGUCUGAGAACAAAUAAAAGACUUCAGGCAUCCCUUCCUAGACAUAGACUCGCAGUAUACUGACCAGUCUCGACUGUCAAUAUAGACUGACAGUAUAACAGGAUUCAUGCUUUGAACUGGAAAUGGGAUGAAAUGUUCUUUCAGGUCCCUUCAAACAGUAAGAUUCUACAAGUCUGUAUAUUUGAAGUUACCAUGAAAUAUUUAAAUAUCACAUUUGGUCAAGUAUAAAACUAAGACUUUGAUAUCCACCUAACACACUGAAUUCUCACAACUCUUGAUCCGGACAGCCUGGAGCAGGAGUGGGGUUGGGUGACAAGUGGGGACUGGGAAGGUGGAAGGAAGAAGGUAAUCAAGGAAGGCUGCAUGUGAGAGAGAGGCUGCAUUCAUCUGUAUCCCACUCUGAAUUUGUUACAAACAGGAGAGAAGACAGAUAAAUGUUCACUCUGGCAGUGUUAUUUAUUACCAGUUAUUUAUUAUAAAUAAAUAAAUGCUUCAUUUAGAGUCAAGGUCACUGAUAACACCUGCAGAUUUCUAUGGUCACAUCCAAAAGCAAGUGUAUCUGAACUAUAGCAAUAAGCAUAACAACAGAAAUGCUUCUCAAGGCAGUUCCUCUUUGAAAUAAACCCCCAAGAUGCUGAUCAGCAGUAGCAGGGGAUGAGAACAUGUGGGGAUGUUGUAUGUGUGGCAAUUAGGACUUCUGCUUUCACUUCAGCAUUUCCCACUGUCCUACAUACAGUUAACAGCACUUUGGAUGGGGGCAUAUGAGAAGAGCUUUACAUUGUAAACCGAUUUUCUCUUUCAAGAUAUAAAUUUCUUUAUUAUUAAAGAAUAUGUAGUCCACAGAUGUUCAAGAAUUUCAACUGAAAAAUCAAACAAUCACUUGACUUUAAAAUGGUAACACAGGCUCACUGUAAUCUAAGGUUGUCUACUAAAAUGUAUAAAGAAGUAUGAAUAUACUGUUGCAUAUAGCAGUGCUCACUACCAUACAACCACCACAAGGAGGAAUGCCUUAUUAUAGACUUAAGCACCCACCCACUUCCUGUUGAAAUACAGGGUGGGGCUGAACCUACAAAUAUAGCCAGACUUUCUCCAAACACAAGGAAUUACUGACAAAUCAGUUUAAGGUCACUAGAGUAAUGUCCAAAAGAGCUAGCAAGACAGAAAUGGUACUUCUUGGGAGGAAAGAGAAAGUAUCUGACUGGGAGAACCAAGAAAAAGAGCUUACUUGUGAUCUAAGACCAGAAAAAAUUUCCAAUUUCAUAAAGGAAUGAACCAGCAAUGGACCUACAUUCAAUAAAUGUUAAGGAUCCUUGUUAACCUGAGUUGGUUUUGAGAAAGAAGCCCAAGAAACAAGACUUCUCAACUCCAGUAUCUUACUCCUUGAGCACACUGUACAUAUAUCAAGCACAUCUGACACUUCUAUAGCUUUAUAUUAUCUUUUGGGGGUAAUACCACCUUUUGUUCUUACCUUUAUUAUUCUUCAGGCUCUAAUCAUAGCUUUGCUCUUACAGCUAAACUUGGGGGAAUAACUUUUACCUUCAAAAUUGGUUUCUCCUAAUAUCAACUAUUCCUUAGAAAACUGCCUUUUAAAUGGCCCAAAUUAGGCUCUCUUUUUAGUAGGAUCCAUCUGGUUGUCCAAAAGAAAAGGCAUUUAAACUGUGAGUAGGAAACCUGGAUUCUAGUUCUUACUCUAAUGAUGACUGGCAAUUGGGGAAAAUUUUUCAAUUCAUCCUUAUAGUUCAGCUGUGAGCUGCACUUUAAAAAAUGCUCAAGAGAUGCUCUAUGUAACCAAGAUUUUGUCUGCAAAGUAUUCUGGGCUCCAAAGAAAAGAUUUAUUCACAUAAAAUAUUUCUUAUAUCUCCAUCUUGGCCCAAGUUCCCUGCCAUGUAUCCACUUAAAUUACACAGGGUCUACAAUGUUAUCAUUGAUGACUUUCAGUCAUAGACAGACACAAAGUUCAUUUCACCUUCCCAAUCUAACACCACUUUCUACCAAUCCCCAAUUCAUCAAAAUGGAAUGAUUUGAAACACUCAAACUAAAAGGGCUUAAUCUGACUAGAUAAAUAUAAAUUAUGAGUGAUUUUUCUCAUAAAUGUAGAAAUCUAAUCCCUAACUAAUUUGUGGGUACUUGUGUGCCAGGCUUUCUUCAGCUACAGUCACCAACUGAGCAUUAAAUUCACACAGGAGUAGACAUGAAAAGCAAUAAGCUACUCUAAAAACAAACACCAACACAAAACUAAACAAAAUAUCAAACCACACCGAAUCAGUUUACAAGAUUACUAGAAAUGAGGGCGGAAGGAGACAGUGCUGAAUCACACAUCAGGCACCGGGUAAGUCUCAUUUCAUCCUGCCAGUUGUCUAAUUAUUCGUUUUAAUCUCUAUGAUGCCUCACUUCGUAUUUCAAGCUUCUCUUUGCAGUAACUGCUCCCUCUCUGGGAUGGAAAGGCCAAAAAAGAAACCAACUUUACAUAACAGAGAAAGGCCAGGAAAAAAAAAAGGAAAUACAGCUAAAUGUUUUGCUGACAGCUGAGGGCAAUAUGCAAACAUACGGUGUGGUCAUGGAGCAGGCAGAAGCAGCAGUCCUGGAUGUGACUAUUCAGAUACCAACCUGAGGAGAGAGACCUAGCAAUCACAACUACAUCUCAACACCAGACAGUGGAAUUAUGGAACAAACUGCCAUGCAAUUCCAUAUCAACUAUUCUGCCAGCUGUAACAAGAAUUCACUCCUGAAAAAGUGUCACACACUCAUCUGUCACUAGCAGUCAAGCCGCCAGCAACUAAGAAUCAGCAGCAAAGGGCAGCUGUACAUCUCCUUCCUCUCACAAGGUCUAUUCACCACUCAAAACAUGGCAUUUAAAAGGAAAAGUCCUUGAGCAAAGGAGAAAGUAAGUACCCAUUCUUUUCUUUCUACCUUCAGUUUUCUGGGCAGGUUCCAAAGCCCUCAAAACCUAAUGAGCAGUGGCAUAGAGCAGCAAGAGCACAGACAUGAAGAGACAGAGGUGUGGGUUUCAAUCCACUACUGCCAAAUUUCAGCUUUGGGGCCUUGGCAAGCGGUCAAAUCUCUCAGUCGUUUCCUAAUCUGUUAAAUUAGUAUAAUGAUUCCUAGUUUAUAAGGCUGUUGUGAAGAAAAAUGAAAUAAUUCAUGUAUAAAAUGCUUAACAUAGUGCCUGGCAUUGAAUAGAUAAUUACAAUAAUAGUUGUAGUGAUUGUAGUAAUAGUAAUAGAAGUACUAGUUCUACACGUAUCUAGCACUUAACUAUGUGCCAGGCACUGUUCUAAAUGUUCUCUGAAACAUUAAACAACACUAUUAAUAAGCUUCAGGUUGUAUUAAUGGGUAACUACUAAUUAUAGUACCUUAUCAAAGAAAUAUAAAAGUCUCUCCCUUGACUCCAAGAGCUUAUGACUUCAGAAGACAUAAAAAGCACAGUUAAGUAACAAUAUAGAAAUAAACAGAAGUUCCGUUAUCAGAUGAAUGACGCAGUCAAUGAGGACAAUAGAAAGGAUGAAAAGAUCACUGUGAAUGAAAGGGACUGAGCAGAUUUGCUGAAAUAAAUAUCUGAACUGGGCAAGAUUUGGAUAUAAAGAAUAAAGAGGGAAAGGUUGUCCAAGUGGUGGUAAUAUAAGCAGGGUAAUAUAAGCAGAAGUCUUGAACUCUACCAGAAAAGUCGCAAUUCUAAUGUAUUUCAUCAAAUUCAAGAUGCCACUGAUUCUAAGAUGCAUCAUGAUUCAAGAGAUGUUAAAAUAUGGGGAAAAUGUACAUAUCAGAAUCAAUGAGAUGUAAUAGUUCUUGUUUGAUAAUAUGAGAAGGUAGACAAGAUGACCUUUAAAAGUUCUUUCCAACCCUAAAAUGCUAUGAUUCAUAACUCAGACUUCUAAGAGAAUAUUCAAAUUUUACCAAACCAUCAACACCAUGGGAAGAACAAAUAUAAUAAAAAUAAGAGAGACUGGAACCAUACUCAACUAUUUGCAAGGCUAAAAUAUUUACCUCCUAACAAGUAUGUUCCUAUUUUCCUAUACAAACUUGAACAUAGUUAUAAUAGUUGUUUUAAUAUCCUCGUCCACCAGUUCCAUCACCUCUGUCAUUUCUGAGAUUCUACUGACUGGUUUUUCUCCUAGUUAUGGGCCACAUUUUCCUGGCAAUUCUGGAAACUUUUGAUUGGAUGUUGGACAUUGUGAUUUUACAAUGUCCAAGUAAAGAUAAUUAUAACAGAAGUGAGUUUUCCUCUUUUCUUUCUGCAUAUGCAGGAUACUGACAAGGCCAACAUGGCCAGAAGAAAGGAAUGGCAGAGAUAAAGAUCCACAAAUAAAGAUUUGAGAUUCUACAAUUUUGUGACAUUUUCAUGUAUAUCUCUGUGUUCCUAGAAUACAGGCUUUUUAUGGACAAGCGAUCAUAUCUAUCAUAGUCCUUUGUAUAUAAUGUGCUCUAUUUAAGUAUUUGUUGAUUUCCUAUAUCAAAUAAACAAUGCAAUACAAAGUUUAAAAUUCAAGUCAAUAGAUAGUUAUUUUAAUAGUUGACUUUGAGUAAUGCAUGGUUGACAUGGCUGACAUUUGCAGUUGUCUUUAAAAUAAAGGUUUUUUUUAAUUAGGUAAAAAUUGUAGUUUCAGAGGCCAUGCUCAUCAUUAAAUUAGAUGUGAAAAAAAUAUAUCCAUUUAAGUAUAGCAAUUCACUGAAUUUAAAAAACCAGCAAGAAUAAGAAAUUUAACAGCUUUGAACUAUAAAAUACAUAUUAAAAAAAUAAAAAUGUAAUUAUUAAUAUGUCACUAUAAAAGCACAUCUCAUAAUUUAAGAAAAAAAACAUUUUAGUGGUUUACAAUCUAAAAAACUUAUGCUAGUCAUUUGUUUUACCCAUUCCUUCUCCAAACCUUAUACUACUGUAGCUAACUGUAAGGAAAACUAUCUGAUUUAAAUUUCAGCACCCUUGCCCUGCCCCACCCUCUCCUGCCCUUGUGAAUGUAUGUGUACUUGGUUAAAAACAUUUUGUAUGAGGAAACAGCAAAAAAGUAGCUGAUGUUUAAAAAUCCAGAGCAAAUUGUGAAUUUUGAAAGCUUGUUUAGAGACUGACCAAGAAUACUUGUCCUCUACUGGUGAAGCUCAAUGUCUUUAACUGGACAUAGCUCCAGGAGAGUGUUAUUGCAAGUAAGUACCAUUAGAGAAAUGGCAAUGGACACUACCUGGGCAACAGAUCAAUGAGACAGCACACACAUUUUUUACUCUAAACUGGUAUAAUCCUUUUUAACAGAUAUUAACACACCCUCUGGUACCAAAUAAUAAGCUUUUUCCAAAUAUCUAUGGGAAACUGACAACAGUAGUAUUUCUCUGCCAAUUCAGUAAUAGAGAUGCAUUUUACAAGCUCCUCUCCUUGUAGAAACCACGUUAAUAAAGAAGUUUGGGAAUUUAUGGUUUUAAAUGCCAAUAUUUUUAAAAACUGGACCACUGUUAUAGAAAUUCCUGUUGGUAUUUUUCAGACUUGGAGGAAAUGAAAUUUGACAGAGUAUUUCCCAAGUGGUCUAGAAGGAGGCAAAAGAAUUAGCAAAACUGAGGAGAAAAUAUGAAAAUGUAUCAGGUGAAGGCCUGAGGUUUGUUGGCAGGAGAAAAAAGUGUAUGCGUUGUAUAUCAAGAAUCCAUGGUAAACAAAAUUCAAUUAUAAUGAAGCAAUUAUCAUGUCACAUUUGUUAAAACUGUACUCUGCCAAGUGGUAUCCCUUUUAGGGUGUCCAUACAUAUUGGUUUGCAUCAAUUGUCCCAGAGUAAUUAAUAACAGUAUUCCCUCUUACUCUUAGAAGUGAAUUGGUGGCCCAGUCUGUGGGCAGGGUAGAAAAAGAAAAGUGAAUUAGUUUACAUUAUGAAUUAUAUGAUCACUCUACCCUUGAAGAAUCCAAUCACAGUCCCAAUUAUUUAAAAUUCAGUACAGAUUUACCUUAUUUUUCUAGCACCAUGUAAGAACAGAAUAGCACUGUUUUAAGAACAUGGAUUCUGGAACCAAGUGGCCUGAGUUCAAAUUUCAGCCCUGCCAUAUAAAUUCUUUAGCUGUGUGACCUUAGGGAAAUUUUUUUAUUUUUUAAUUUUGAAAUAAUUUCAAACUUGGAGAAAAGUUGCAAAAAUAGUACAAAGGCACACUCAAUGGCAAAUAGCUGAAAGCUUUUCCUCUAAGAUCAGGAACAAGACAAGGAUGUCCACUUUUACCACUUUUAUUCAACAUAGUACUGGAAGUCCUAGCCAUGGCAAUCAGACAAGAUAAAGGGAUAAAGGGCAUCCAAAUUGGUAAUGAAGAAGUAAAACUGUCACUAUUUGCAGAUGACAUAAUUCUAUAUAUAGAAAACUCUUAAGACUUCACCAGAAAACUAUUAGAACUAAUAACUGGAUUUGGUAAAGUUGCAGGAUACAAUAUUAAUACACUGAAAUCUGUUGCAUUCUUAUAUGCUGACAAUAAACUAGCAGAAAGAGAAAUGAGGAAAACAACUCCAUUUAUAAUUGCAUCAAAAAGAAUAAAAUACCUAGGAGUAAACCUAACUAAGGAGGCAAAAGACUUGAACUCUGAAAACUACAAGAUACCCAUGAGAACACCAAUAAAUGGAAAUCUAUCCCAUGCUCAUGGAUAAGAAUAAUUGUCAAAAUGGUCAUCCUGCCCAAAGCCAUUUACAAAUUCAAUGCAAUCCCUAUCAAAAUAACAAUGGCAUUUUUCAGUGAAUUAGAGCAAAUAAUCCUAAAAUUCACACAGAAUCACAAAAGACUCAAAACAGCCAAAGCAAUCCUAAGAAGGAAGAACAAAGCUGGAGGUAUUAUACUCCCUGACUUCAAGCUAUAUUACAAAGCUACAGUAAUCAAAACACUAUGGUACUAACACAAGAACAGACCCAUAGACCAAUGGAACAGAAUAAACAGCCCAGAUAUAAAUCCAUACAUAUAUGGUCAAUUAAUAUAUGAUAAAGGAGCCAUGAAUAUACACUGAGGAAAAGACAGUCUCUUCAAUAAAUGGAUCAAACACCUGAAUGUAAGACAUGAAACCAUAAAACUCUUAGAAGAGGCAAAAAUCUUUUGAACAUUAGCAUGAGCAAUUUUUUUCCUGGACAUAUCUCCUUGGGCAAGGGAAACAAAAUAAAAAAUGAACAAGUGGUACUACAUCAAACUAAAAAACUUCUAUACAGCAAAGGACACCAUCAACAAAACAAAAAGGCAGCCUACAGUAUGGGAGAAUAUAUUCAUAAAUGAUUUAUCUGAUAAGGAGUUAACAUCCAAAAUACAUAAAAAACUCAUCCUCCUCAACAUCAAAAAAACAAAUAACCUGAUUAAAAAAUGGGCAGAGGACCUGAACAGACAUUUUUCCGAAGAAGAAAUACAGAUGGCCAACAGGCAAAUGAAAAGAUGCUCCACAUCACUAAUCAUCAGAGAAAUGCAAAUCAAAACCACAAUGAGAUAUAUCACCUCACACCAGUUAGAAUGGCCACUAUCCAAAAGACAAGAAAUAACAAGUGUUGGCGAGGAUGUGGAGAAAAGAGAACCCUCCUACACUGUUGGUGGGAAUGUAAAUUGGUGCAGACACUGUAGAAAGCAGUAUGGAGGUUCCUUAAAAAAUUAAAAAUAGAAAUACCAUAUGACCCAGUAACUCCACUCCUAGAAAUUUACGCAAAGGAAACAAAAUCCUUGAUUCAAAAAGACAUGCACCCCCAUGUUUAUUGCUGCACUACUUGCAAUAGCCAAGAUAUGGAAGCAAUCAAAGUGCCCAUCAAUAGAUGAAUGGAUAAAGAGGUGGUACAUAUACACAAUGGGGUAUUAUUCAGCCAUAAAAAAGAAAGAAGUCCUGCCAUUUGCAACAACAUGGAUGGAUCUAGAGGGUAUUACACUAAGUGAAAUAAGCCAGGUUGAGAAAGACAAAUACCAUGUGACUUCACUUAUUUGUGGGCUCUAAAAACAAAACAAAGAAAAUAGCAGAGACUCACAGACAAUGAGAAGUGACUUUGGCAGUUACCAUGGGAGAGGGGCUGGAGUGCAUUGGUAGGGAUGGUGAUGGGGAUAAAAAGGCAUAAAAAUUCUCAAUCAUAAGUUGGCCACAGUAAUGGUAGUACAGCAUGGAGAACACUGUCAAUGACUCUAUAACAUCUUUCUGUGUUAACAGAUAGUAACUAUACUAGUUAGGGUGAGGAUUUAAUAAUGUGUGUAACUGGUGAACGACUGUGUUGUAUACCUGAAACCAAUGUAAGAUUGUAUAUCAACUACACUUCAAAAAAAAAAAAAAGAAAAAAUAAUACAGAGGGCUACCCUAUGCCCUUCACCUAGGUUUACAAAUCAUUAAUAUUCUGCCAUAUUUACUUUUUUCCCUGUAUCCUUCUUCUCUCCACACACACACACACACACACACACACACACACACACACACAACUUAAUUGCUAAUUUUUUAACCAUUUGAUAAUAGGUAUAUACAUGGUUGCCCCAUCUCUAAAUAAUUCAAGGAGUCACCUCCUCAAACUACAAUGCAAUUACUUUAUUCAGAAAUUUAACAAUGACACAAUAUUAUUUAAAUAAAGUCCAUGUCUAAAUUCUACUAGUUGUCCUAACGGUGCUCUUCAUUGUAAAUUUUUCUCUCAGUGCAGGAUCCCAAUCCAGAAUCACAGGCAGGCUUUUUAAUCUGUUUAUCAGUUUCCCUGUCUGUAAAAUAAAGAUUAAUAAUAGUAUCUAGCUCAUGGGAUUACUAGGAGAAAUAAAGAAUUUAUAACACUUGCUGCAUUUAGUUACAGUAUUAGCUGCUUUUAGGGAAUGACAGACUCCAUAUAAAGUAGAACUGUCAGAUAAUGGAAAUAACUUUUUAGACACCACACAUUUUGAAGCCAUUUUAAUGAAAAUCAUUGUAGAAUACAUUGUGUAUAUCCAUUGUUUCUUAAACAAAAUAAACCAAUAAAAUUUAAGCUUUUUUUUUGGUAACUCAGAGUCUUUACAUCAGCCAGCCGUACUAUGCUAUAAAACCAAGUUGCUAUGGGGAAGACAGUGUAGGACAGAGAAGGCAAAGAGUGAUUCUGGCAUCUUACUACACUGAUGGGCAGUGAC